rnacentral:rRNA from 1 species
GACGUAGGAUGCGAGCGUUGUCCGGAUUUAUUGGGCGUAAAGAGUUCGUAGGUGGUUCAUUAAGUCUGGUGUUAAAGACCGGGGCUCAACCUCGGGAUCGCACUGGAUACUAGUGGACUAGAGUGCAGUAGAGGCAAGCGGAAUUCCCAGUGUAGCGGUGAAAUGCGUAGAUAUUGGGAAGAACACCGGUGGCGCAAGCGGCUUGCUGGGCUGUAACUGACACUGAGGAACGAAAGCUAGGGUAGCGAAUGGGAUUAGAUACCCCAGUAGUCCUAGCCGUAAACGAUGGAUACUAGGCGUAUCGGGUAUCGACCCCUGAUGUGCCGCAGCAAACGCGAUAAGUAUCCCGCCUGAGUAGUACGGCCGCAAGGUUGAA